rnacentral:rRNA from 1 species
AGCAGCCGCGGUAAUUCCAGCUCCAAUAGCGUAUAUUAAAGUUGUUGCAGUUAAAAAGCUCGUAGUUGAAUUUCGGGAUCAUCAGGUUGGUCGUGCCUCUGGUAUGUACUUUCCUCGAUGGUUCCUCCUUCUUGAAGAUCCGUAAUGUCAUUAAUUUGGUGUUGCGGGGAAUCAGGACUGUUACUUUGAAAAAAUUAGAGUGUUUAAAGCAGGCAAUCGCUUGAAUACAUUAGCAUGGAAUAAUGAAAUAGGACGUUCGAUCCUAUUUUGUUGGUUUCUAGGAUUGACGUAAUGAUUAAUAGGGAUAGUUGGG